ensembl:lncRNA
AAAGGAAGCUGAAGAGUCUAUCUAUUCAAACUUGAGCAAUAACUAGUCCUGAAGCAGAAUUUUACAUAGAAGCACUUCUGGUGAAAAUGCAGAAUAAUCUGUUUCCUCCGCUGCUUGAAACGCAACAUGGAAAUAGUAAAAGGGAUGCAAAGUAGGCAGAAGCAACACAACUAUCUACUGAAGACAACAUUCAAAUCUUUUAUACUACAUGAAGAGCUUUUGAUCAGCAAUUUUCUACAUGCUUUUAUGUUGGUUAUGUUCAGCUUGUAUGUUCAGUGGGAAUUUUAUCUCCAUCCAUCUUAUAUAGAAUGUAAUACAACCUUAUUCAGAAUGUCACAGAAAAUGAGGAAUGUUACUGUGACGCUAUCUACUAAAUGUACAAGAGGAAGAUAGCACUUUAGUUUUUGUCGAUUCACACCUUGUUGUAGUUUUACAACAUGAAAAAGUCCUGAUAUCCCUACCCAAGGCAGACAACCCACCACAGAACUUCCGCAGUCAGAAGUGACAAGCCAUGCCAAACAGGGACAAAAGUUAUCUUAGUUUCACGCAUGGAGUGUAUUGCUUGUGUAUGGCACUGCUCUAGUGUAGCUCUUCUUUUAGGACUAAGGACAAUAUUUCAUCUCAGCACCAAACUGAGUUUUCCUGUGCUGUCUGAAGGUAGUUUGGGAAUCUCUAGAAUGCAGGUGCCUUGCACAUAGGUAUUUGUAGGAAAGAAUAUGUGACUGAAGUCUAGGAAAAGCAGCCAAGCCUUCCAUCUUCAAAACUCCCCUAGAAUUUUAGAGUAACUUGUCCACGUAAAUUUCAAGGUCUCUACAUAAGACUGUGCUAAACUUAUGAGUUGUAUUUUUGCUGUUUCAAAAUUUGCCUUCUGAAUGCUUUCCUAUGUCAGUAGCAAUGACAGUAAAAAAUUGGCAACAUUGAAAACAUUCAGGGCUUUCUUCCAUCUUCAUCAAGACUUCUAUUCUUAACAGUUUUGCAAUGACGUAAUUAUUUGGGUAGGGCAGCCAGUUGAUUGCAUUUACUGAGGGGUUUUGCUGCUUUUCUUAAUGAUAUAAAAAGAAAUAACAAAUGACAGCUCACUGACGUGGACAAUGUCAUUUUGUUCUAUGAAUUCUAGGAUCACUAGUUUUGAUGAAGGAUUCUAUAUUUGUAGGAGAAUCACUCCUUCCUUUUAGAAGGUGUGAGAAGUAUCAUCACUUUAUGACACGGUGCAUGAGUAAGCAGCAGCUUGUGCAUUAACAUAUUAACUAUUGUGACUCAUUACUUCAGGGGACAACUGUAUUUAAAGUUGGAAGGAAAACCCAUUAUAUUAAACUUCUAUUCGUUCACACCAGCAAACAAAGAUGAAGGAAGAAGUGACAGUACUUGAAAACAGGCCAAGUAAAAUGUUCAGCUCAGGUGACCUGUAAUACUUUACUGUGAAUUAGAACUUUUUUUUUAAUCAUGUGCUCCCUCCACAUGCUUGCAGCAUUUCCCAGUAGACACUGUUCACAAACAUAAUAAGCUUAAAGACUUGGCUGGUUCUCAUGAGCAGGAAAACUCUUCAGCUUCUAUUCCUCAGAACUCUUAAGGUUAUUUUUGAUGGGAUGAUAGCCUUGAUUUCAGUGUGAAUAAAUAAGUAC